rnacentral:lncRNA from 1 species
UACAGCGAACACCAGCUGCUCCCCGCGCCGGCACCCGCGCGCCGCUGCUCCGCCGGCGCUGCCUCCCUCGACCCGUGGCUCCCCCUCGCAACUUGGCGGGCCUCCUCCCUUUUGUCCGGCCCGGUCCGGCCGCCGCCGCCCCCCGCGCCUGGCGCCGAGCUCCCGGGUCCCCGGGCCGGCUGUCGGUGCCGGCAGGGCGCGGAGGGGGCGGGGGCCGCGGCUCGUCCCCCAGCGGAUGAGCUGCCGCGGACGGGGCGCGGGCGGACGAUGGAACUCCACAUCCUGGAGCACCGGCUGCAAGUUGCCAGCGUCGCCAAGGAGAGUAUCCCGCUGUUCACCUACGGGCCUGAUCAAACUUGCCUUCCUGUUCUCCAAGACCAGGUGCAAGUUCUUCAGUCUGACUGAGACACCAGAGGAUUACACUAUCAUUGUCGAUGAGGAAGGAUUCCUAGAGCUGCCCUCCUCGGAGCACCUGAGUGUGGCGGAUGCCACCUGGCUGGCCCUGAACGUGGUGUCCGGCGGUGGCAGCUUCUCCAGCUCCCAGCCUAUUGGCAUGACCAAGAUCGCCAAGUCAGUCAUCGCCCCACUGGCUGACCAGAACAUAUCCGUGUUCAUGCUGUCCACGUAUCAGACAGACUUCAUCCUGGUGCUCAAGCGGGACCUGCCCUUUGUCACCCACACGUUGUCAUCAGAGUUCACCAUCCUGUGGUCAGUGGCUAGACUGUAGCAGCCGAGAACCUCGGCAUCACCAGUGGCUUCGUGAAGCCCAAGCUGGGGCCUUGGUGUACCUUGUUGUAGUGUUUGAAAACAUCUGAGGCUGCAUCCAUCUCCAGCACCCCAUAAAGCAACAGCUUGCAGAACCCGGCUAGGAGGCGGCGCCGCUGGUGUAGCCGCUCUAUCUGUAAAUGAUCCUCCUGGGAAUCACCUGGCUCACAUGGAAGGCAAAAGGGAAUCACAGACUUAAGCUUCCUGCCCUAUAUUUCUGAGCUACACCCAAGCCCCAGCCCUUACUGAGCCCCAGGUAUAGAGUCACUGCACCACUGCCCAGGUCUCCCGGCUGGAUGAAGACGUGGUCCAUGAGGAAGCUGGCUAGCUCAGACUGGAGAGUAGCUUCAGGAAAAAAGACAAGUGGCCUAAGGAAAUCACGGCCCCCAACAAUCAUCUGAGGGCUAAAGAUGAGAAGUAGAUCACUUAAUAAGACAAAAGCCUGUAGGGGGAAAAGAAAGGAUGUUUAAAAGGACAGAAUGUUUCCCAAGGUAGAAAUGACACUGUCAAUUUCUCCUUGGAAUGGGGGCAGGGAUACUCGCCUUGUUGCUCCCACUUGAGUCAGUACUCACCUGCUCCUGGAUCUCAGUAUCCACAUCUGAGAGGCAACUCUGGCAGAGUUCACAGAAGGCCACCAUUCUGUCCCUCAAACUCGACAGCUGCUUCUGUGGGCACAGUGGCUUGAAGGGGAAGAAUGAAGACACAGACUCCUCUGUUCCCAUUAUCCCAUCUAAGACCCACACUCACCUGGGAAGCAUCUGAUUUAGAAAUGUGGGUUAGUGUCCAGAGAAUGGAAAAAUAGACAAGAGUCAAGGCUGGCAGGAUAACCUGUAACAACAAAGGGUUUGAAAAAUGAGGUUUGGGUUAGGAGAGGGAGAGACAGAUAGCCAGAAACACACCAGUGAAGAGGAGAGAAAAUGAGUAAAGGGAGAGCUAAUUCCUUUUCCAGUGGAAAAUGAGUGAUAUUCUGGACAUUCUUCAGAGGCAUCUACACGAAGUAGAAAUGUCACCGCUCCCUAAUUUACUCUACGUCUUCUAGAAUCCCUCAAUAUUAUCCUUGGCUUCCAGGAAAUCCAAGAAGACCCUGGAAGUAGAGUCCACCUUCUAAGAGAGGAAUGUAAGAGGUGACCCCCACCCACCUGAUCUUCCUCGCUUUGUCCACUCCACGCACUGAGACUUGACACACCUAGUGGCCACCUAGAACGUAGGUCCUUAAAAUCUAGCCCCCCAGCCCCCAACCCAUCUCUAGCCUGUCCACUCACCUGGUGAGGAACCUCUCCUGUGUCCACAGCCUUCUGCAGGAGUUGGCAACAUGGCUCAUAGAGCUCCCAGCGAGUCAGGUCAUGAGUGCUUUGGGGGAGAAAGGGGAAUGUUAUACUGGAAAAGAACAGAGGGAACCAACUCCACAGACACCAGUAAAAACGGGAUGGGGAAGAGGAGGAAAGCCACUCACUUGUAGAAGGCAGAGAGGCGUUUCAGAGUGGCUGCCAGAUUAUAUACCUCAUCCUCAUCUAGGAAGGACGACUGAGAAGGAAAGAAGAUCCACAAUAGCAUUUCCCCCAGAACUCAUCAGUCCACAUCCCCCGUCUUGCAGCCCCUCCCACCCUUGUUUGGGGUGUCCCAUUGUCCAGCCCCAGCUCCUACCUGUAACAGCUCUUCAAGCUCCUGCUGGAAGCGGUCAGUCAGCAAAUCUACUAGCUGGCUGCGGGCAAAGUCCGCCCGGCUGAAGAAAGUGAAUUCGGGAUUACAGAGCAGGUAGAGGGCAUGCGCCCCAGCCUCAAGCACCGCUGGCUCUGCAUGCUUCACCACCACCUCCUGGAGUUGCUGCAGGAACAGCUCCAGGUGCUGAGAAGAAAAGGCAGAAGAUGGUGUGCUGUGGGGAUGGGAGGAGGACACUCUUCUGGCGGGAAGUGGAACGGGGUUAAAAGCAUUAAACUUCAAGGAUAAGAUGCCUAAGAAAA